ACACAUGCAAGUCGAACGUGAGAAUAGCAAUAUUUGAAAGUGGCAAACGGGUGAGUAACACGUGGGAACCUGCCUCGAAGUGGGGGAUAACGAUUGGAAACGGUCGCUAAUACCGCACGGUUCUGCUCUGAUGGGAAUGGAGCAGAUAAAGAUUUAUCGCUUUGAGAGGGGCCCGCGGCCGAUUAGCUAGUUGGUAAGGUAAAGGCUUACCAAGGCGAUUAUCGGUAGCUGGUCUGAGAGGACGAUCAGCCACACGGGAACUGAGACACGGUCCCGACUCCUACGGGGGGCAGCAGUGAGGAAUAUUGGGCAAUGGGCGAAAGCCUGACCCAGCAACGCCGCGUGGAGGAUGAAGGCUUUAGGGUUGUAAACUCCUUUUGUGGGGGAAAAGAAUGGAUGGUACCCCAAGAAUAAGUCACGGCUAACUACGUGCCAGCAGCCGCGGUAAUACGUAGGUGACAAGCGUUAUCCGGAAUUACUGGGCGUAAAGCGCACGCAGGCGGUCAGAUAAGUCUGAUGUGAAACCUUCUGGCUUAACCAGAAGACGUCGUUGGAUACUGUUUGACUUGAGGCGAUGAGAGGAAUGCGGAAUCCCCGGUGUAAUGGUGGAAUAUGUAGAUAUCGGGGGGAACAUCUGAGGCGAAAGCGGCAUUCUGGCAUUAGCCUGACGCUCAUGUGCGAAAGCGUGGGGAGCAAACGGGAUUAGAUACCCCGGUAGUCCACGCUGUAAACGAUGAAUACUAGGCGUAGGUGGAGUUAAACCCAUCUGUGCCGAAGCCAACGCAUUAAGUAUUCCGCCUGGGAAGUACGGCCGCAAGGCUAAAACUCAAAGGAAUUUCAAAGGAAU
rnacentral:rRNA from 1 species